GCGGGGCCGGAAGUGGAAGAAGAAGGCGGCGGCUGAGUCGGUUCAGGAGGUUUUAGAGCCGGAGUCCGAGCUUCAGGUGCCAUGGGCUGGGGGAAGGCGCCCUGAGGGGACUCGAGGCUGUGCAUGGCGGGUGCUCGGGCCGCCGCCGCCGCCUCGGCGGGUUCCACCGCCUCGUCGGGCAGCCCGCCGCCUCAGGAGCCCGGGCUCUGGGAGCUGCUGGAGGAGUUCUCCCGGACUCAGUACCGUGCCAAGGACAGCGGCGGGAAGAGCGGCUCUAAGGUUGAACGCAUUGAGAAGAGAUGUCUGGAGCUAUUUGGCCGUGACUACUGUUUCAGCGUGAUUCCAAAUGUGAAUGGUGAUAUCUGCGGCCACUACCCCCGCCACAUCGUAUUCCUGGAGUAUGAGAGUUCUGAGAAAGAGAAAGACACAUUUCAGAGCACUGUGCAGGUGAACAAGUUGCAAGACCUCAUUCACCGAAGCAAGAUGGCCAGGUGCAGAGGUCGGUUUGUCUGCCCAGUGAUCCUGUUCAAAGGCAAGGAGUGGUGACACGCACCUUUUUGAUAAGGUGAGAGGCUAUGAUAUCAAGCUGCUUCAAUACCUGUCAGUCAAGUACAUCUGUGACCUGAUGGUGGAGAACAAGAAGUGUAACCUCCUCUGAGAAGGUGGACAAAGCCCAGCGCUAUGCAAACUUCACUCUCCUCUCUAUUCCAUAUCCAGGUUGUGAAUUCUUCAAGGAAUAUAAAGAUCGGGAUUACAUGGCUGAAGGGCUCAUAUUUAACUGGAAGCAGGACUACGUCGAUGCCCCAUUGAACAUCCCCAACUUCCUGACUCAAUCUCUGAACAUUGACUGGAGCCAGUAUCAGAGUUGGGACCUGGUGCAACAAACACAGAACUACCUGAAACUGCUGCUUUUCAUCAUGAACAGAGAUGAUGACAGCGGGCUGCUGGUACACUGUAUCUCAGGCUGGGACCGGACCCCCCUCUUCAUCUCUCUUCUGCGCCUUUCCUUGUGGGCUGAUGGGCUAAUUCACACAUCCCUGAAGCCUGCUGAGAUCCUCUACCUGACUGUGGCCUAUGACUGGUUCCUCUUUGGACACAUGUUGGUAGAUCGGCUCAGCAAAGGGGAGGAGAUUUUCUUCUUUUGCUUCAAUUUUUUGAAGCAUAUCACCUCCGAAGAGUUCUGCCUGAAGACCCAGAGGAGGAAGAGUUUGCCAACUCGGGAUGCAGGCUUCACUGUGGAAGAUAUCUGCAUGUUGAGACACAAAGAUCGAGGCAGCACAACCAGCCUAGGCAGCGACUUCUCCCUGGUCUUGGAGCACUCACCGGGAGCUGUGGGGAGCUUCAGCUAUGAGACUGUGGAACUUGCCCCGGCAGGAGCACCAACUCAGGCAGCUUGGAGGAAGAGUCACUCAUCCUCCCCACAGAGUAUGCUCUGGAGCCGGCCACAGCCCUCUGAGGAGCGCCUACCUUCACACCAUGGGCUCACUGAAGCCAAGUCUUCUAGCUCUUCAUCCUCAAACCAUUCUGACAACUUUUUCAGGAUGGGCAGCAGUCCUCUUGAGGUCCCCAAACCCAGGUGAGGAACCUCAAGGGGUAAGGAGCCUGCUGGAGGAUGUGGCUGGCCUUCCUCCAUUGUCGAGGUUGGAAGUGGAGUAUAUCACAUUUAUGCUAGCUGGGUUUCCUUGGAAUGUGCCUUGAUAUGAGUAGCUACUUAGGAGCUGAAGGAAGUGGAUGCUUAGGAGGCCCACCCACUCUUUGAAGGAUUGAUUGCUGUUGGAGCACAGAUCCUUCACCAGUUUGUACAAACAUUUGUAAUUGUUUCCUGGAAUGCUAUGCUAUGGAGUAUAUGGGUACACAAAUGUAAUGAUGGUCUGGACUGCCACCAUGUGUGCCCCUUUGGAAGAUCUCAGACCUCUGGACUACCCAUUGUAGAUAUAUCAAGAUGGGUCAGAAUACUCUGGGUUCAUUUAUUUCUCACAUGCCAUGUCCACACUGAUGGAGAGGCUACAACAACAGAGAAGGGAUCAACAACAUGUGUGGCUGUGGAAAACACAGCAACUCAAUAUAUAUUGAAAAUCAACUGAGCCAGGACAGGUGUGCCACGGUGAGGCCAGCAUGCUGCCUCCUGGGUAAAAUUAAAAUUGAGUGUGCACCAGGGCCAGAGAAUUGGGGUAGGGAGUGGUCUGACACUUGGGGGAAAGCAUUUCCCAGCUGAUGGUCCUACUUUUUCCCAUAUCAUAUUCCAAAGAAUGACUGAGUGUGUUGAUUGCUUUCCUGCCUAAAUUAUAGAGAAUUCAUAGUCCUUCUAAAGAGAACAGAACACUGUAUGGCCGAGAGGCCACUAAAGGUUUAGCAAAAUGGACAUGAACUCUGGAAUCCCACUUAGACUUGAGCCCAUCUUUGCCAUGUGUCCAUGUAGCUUUUUGUCUGUGUCCUGCUUGGUGGCAGGCCUGUUAAAGCUUCUGGUCCCCUCCACUCACUGGACAAUAGGAGGCGAUGGAGUAAGAGGCGCCAAAGCAUCUUCCUCAGGGAGGCAGAGCAGAUGAGUGGUGGGCAAGCUUGAUGCUGGCUGCUCUGACCAGAGGUGGCCCAUGUGCCCUGAGUGCCCUACCUACAGGUGAGCGCUUCAUCUCAGUGCCAUCUGCAAACCCUGAGGUAUUUGUUAAGCCAAGAUGAUAGCCCAUUGGAGACUUGGCAUCUAUGACUAAAUAGAGCCAGGGCCAGGCAGAUAGCCCACAUUGCCUGUGCCUGCUCCCAUCCUACACAUGGGGCUGGCAUAUAUGCCUGUUGCUGGGACUCCUCCUCUGCACUUGGCUGUCCUUAGGGCUACUCUUGAGUUGUGGUAGCACUUCUAAAACUCUUGGUGUCUGAGCUGAGGUUCUUGCUUAUGGUCCCUGCCUCCUUUUCUGCUUGUGUAUCGCCACUGAGUAUCUGGGAAGGUUCUACUUGCCACCUAGGCCUUGCCCCAACUGUUGACAACUCCUUUGUUGACCUGUCAGUAUUCCUACAUCCAGAAUGGCCACAAAAUGCCCUUUCUCUGAGAGGGUGAGUAAUAUUGGAAGAUCCACUUCCAACCCCAAGGCCAGACCAAAGAUAAUAUGGACUUAAGUGGAGGCUGGACAGACAGUGUGGGGCAUGUGUUGUGAGCUGCGUCUUCUGUGAGCAUCUGCCCAGAGCUACACCAGCUAGCCAGGCAACACAGUUCUGAAUUGGGUAUCUGCUGCCAGAGGUUUAAAGACUACACUAUUCUGAUUUGGAGCAUUCUAAUUAUGUAUUUCCAUUAACAUUAAAAUUAAUUUAGUCUCUUUUAUCUU